GUGCUCGCUUCAGCAGCACAUAUACUGAAAUUGGAACGAUAGAGAAGAUUAGCAUGGCUCCUGCACAAGGAUGACACGCAAAUUCGUGAAGCGUUCCAUAUUUAA
rnacentral:snRNA from 1 species